UCAACAGUGUUCAGGUUGGUGUUCAGGUUGGAAGACAGUACAGAUAUAACCUGGUAUCAACAGUGUUCAGGUUGGAAGACAGAACAGAUAUAACCUGGUAUCAACAGUGUUCAGGUUGGAAGACAGAACAGAUAUAACCUGGUAUCAACAGUGUUCAGGUUGGAAGACAGUACAGAUAUAACCUGGUAUCAACAGUGUUCAGGUUGGAAGACAGUACAGAUAUAACCUGGUAUCAACAGUGUUCAGGUUGGAAGACAGUACAGAUAUAACCUGGUAUCAACAGUGUUCAGGUUGGAAGACAGUACAGAUAUAACCUGGUAUCAGUGUUCAGGUUGGAAGACAGUACAGAUAUAACCUGGUAUCAACAGUGUUCAGGUUGGAAGACAGAACAGAUAUAACCUGGUAUCAACAGUGUUCAGGGUGGAAGACAGUACAGAUAUAACCUGGUAUAAACAGUGUUCAGGUUGGAAGACAGUACAGAUAUAACCUGGUAUAAACAGUGUUCAGGUUGGUGUUCAGGUUGGAAGACAGUACAGAUAUAAACUGGUAUCAACAGUGUUCAGGUUGGAAGACAGUACAGAUAUAACCUGGUAUCAACAGUGUUCAGGUUGGAAGACAGUUCAGAUAUAACCUGGUAUCAACAGUGUUCAGGUUGGAAGACAGUACAGAUAUAAACUGGUAUCAGUGUUCAGGUUGGAAGACAGUACAGAUAUAACCUGGUAUCAACAGUGUUCAGGUUGGAAGACAGUACAGAUAUAACCUGGUAUCAACAGUGUUCAGGUUGGAAGACAGUUCAGAUAUAAACUGGUAUCAGUGUUCAGGUUGGAAGACAGAACAGAUAUAACCUGGUAUCAACAGUGUUCAGGUUGGUGUUCAGGUUGGAAGACAGUACAGAUAUAAACUGGUAUCAGUGUUCAGGUUGGAAGACAGUACAGAUAUAACCUGGUAUCAACAGUGUUCAGGUUGGUGUUCAGGUUGGAAGACAGUACAGAUAUAACCUGGUAUCAACAGUGUUCAGGUUGGAAGACAGUACAGAUAUAACCUGGUAUCAACAGUGUUCAGGUUGGAAGACAGUACAGAUAUAACCUGGUAUCAUCAGUGUUCAGGUUGGAAGACAGUACAGAUAUAACCUGGUAUCAACAGUGUUCAGGUUGGUGUUCAGGUUGGAAGACAGUACAGAUAUAAACUGGUAUCAACAGUGUUCAGGUUGGUGUUCAGGUUGGAAGACAGUACAGAUAUAACCUGGUAUCAACAGUGUUCAGGUUGGAAGACAGUACAGAUAUAACCUGGUAUCAACAGUGUUCAGGUUGGAAGACAGUACAGAUAUAACC